rnacentral:rRNA from 1 species
CAGCCGCCGCGGUAAUACCAGCAGCCCAAGUGGUGGUCGCGAUUAUUGGGCCUAAAGCGCUCGUAGCCGGGCCGGUAAGUCCCUUGUGAGGUCGGACGGCCUAACCGUUCGGCGUGCAAGGGAUACUGUCGGUCUUGAGGCCGGGAGACGUCCGAGGUACUCCGGGGGUAGCGGUGAAAUGUUCUGAUCCUCGGGGGACCACCGGUGGCGAAGGCGUUCGACGAGAACGGGCCUGACGGUGAGGGGCGAAGGCUAGGGGAGCAAACGGGAUUAGAUACCCCCGUAGUCCCUGUCUCUUAUU